ACCUACCUAUAAGACUGGGAUAACUUCGGGAAACCGGAGCUAAUACCGGAUAAUAUUUUGAACCGCAUGGUUCAAAAGUGAAAGACGGUCUUGCUGUCACUUAUAGAUGGAUCCGCGCUGCAUUAGCUAGUUGGUAAGGUAACGGCUUACCAAGGCAACGAUGCAUAGCCGACCUGAGAGGGUGAUCGGCCACACUGGAACUGAGACACGGUCCAGACUCCUACGGGAGGCAGCAGUAGGGAAUCUUCCGCAAUGGGCGAAAGCCUGACGGAGCAACGCCGCGUGAGUGAUGAAGGUCUUCGGAUCGUAAAACUCUGUUAUUAGGGAAGAACAUAUGUGUA
rnacentral:rRNA from 1 species